CGAGGUGCAGAGUUCCUCCGGGGAAAAGCCCCGCGGCGCCUGAGGGUGUCUGCUCUCAACUGGACCCACGGAUCAAUCUCCCUUGUCACAGAGACUGUGACAAGGACAAUUAGAUGCAGGCAGCUACUUACCAUGAAACUACCUUGUGGAGGAGGAUGAUUACUCCCUUAAACCCCUUCUAAAAGGUCUAUGAAGAGGAAGAAGAAAAAAGACCUUUUGUACUGUAUGAGCUUUUAAAAAAAUAGGAUUUUCACAGGGAUGCACAGCACCAGUUGUGUGAAUUGGGGUACACUGGCCAUAUUUUGCAUAAUGCAUUUGUGAACAUUGUUUUGUUGCCAGCUGAGAGGAUCACCAUGGGAAACAAAGAACAAACCCUUCUGGAAUACAGCUACUCAUUUUGAAAUAAAAGCUGAUUAUUCCUUUCUUGCAUGACAACCUCUCCAAAAGCACCUUUUACUAUAC